GUUGUGACAUCUUCGUUAUCAUUCUCCAUUUUUCUAAGCAACAAUAUGGCACUUCCAUGAAGAUCUUGCUUGCAGAGUCCGCUUAUAAAUGUAGAUUUAGUAACUGCAUUUGGUUGACAACCCCUUUCAAACAUUUGAUCAAGUACACCAGGCACUUGAGAAAUCAUAUUACCAUUAAGCAGACCUUUAAUGACAGUGUUAUAUGUCACAACAUUA
rnacentral:sRNA from 1 species